CGUCGUUUACAAGUUGCAAUGCGGUAAUUGUGAGGCAUCUUAUGUGGGACAGACUAGUAGAAAUAUUAACUGGUCCAUAUGCAUGCAAUAGUUAUAUGCAAUAUAACUAUUACAUGCGUAUGGACCAGUUGAGCAUCUAUAAAGAACAGAUUAUAAAAGUGGAAAUCAUAGGUUACGUGACAAAAGUUUGAAUGAUAAGUAAAAUAUUAAUUGUCUUUUGUUUAAAAUAAUGUAAAUGUACUAAUGCCCGGACAUAAACUCAAAAACAUAAAAUCCAGACAUAAACAUUAAUUCAAAAACAUAAGCAUUAACUCCAGACAUUCUUAUUAUUUUGAAUAUUUCAUUUUUUAACGUAUACUAUAUAUAAAUAUUAAAUGUAUAGCAAUGUGUAUGUAUUGUACGUUGAAAGCCAAAAUAUUCAUAUUUAAAUAUCAAAAUAAUAAUGAUGAUAAGUAUAAUGCUAAAGAUAAAUACAUGCCCAGGCAUUAGUACGCUUAUCUUAUCAAAAAGCAGUGAAAUGCAGCUUCAUGAAUUUUUAGCUUUAACUCAUAAUACAGAUAAAUUAAAAAAUUAUUUAAUAGAAAAAAAAUAAUCAAUAGUGAAGUGCAAUGUCCCAAGUGCAACAAAAAAUUAAUAAUUAGCAGUGAAAUGUUAUUUCAUUGCACAAAAUUGUAUUAUGAGAAAGAUAAACAUAAAACAAUAGUAAAAAGAAGUGUAAUUUUAAAGUGAGUGUGAAAAAGAACACAUGGUUGGCAAGUCAAAAUUAAGCAUAGAAACAAUAUGCAGGAUUACAGCUUAUUUUAUAAUGACUUUAAUGAAUUUAAGACCUCCACGAUAAGAAUUUUUAUCUAUAGAACUAAAUCUGUCUGACCAUACAAUUAUAGACUGGACUUCUUUUGGCCGAGAGAUUUGCAUACAUUGGGUCAAAAAAAACUCAAUAAAACUUGGAGAACCAAACGAAAUAGUGAAAAUAGACAAGGCCAAAAUCGGCAAGAGAAAAUAUAACCGUGACCGAAUAAUAGAAGCAAAAUGGAUAUUCAGUGGAUACGAACGAGAUUUCAGAAAAAUAUUUCUCGUGUCAGUUCCAAGUCGGACAGAGACAACUUUAUUAAAUAUUAUUAAGGAAUGGAUUUUACACGGGACGAUAGUGUCAGAUUGUUGGAAAUCUUAUAACUGCUUAAGCAGUGAAGAUUUCCAACAUCUAGCAGUGAAUCAUUCUAUGAAUUUCAUCGAUCCCGAUACUGGAGCACACACUCAACAUAUUGAAUACGUUUGGAGAGAAGUAAGAGCUAAUAUUCCACAAUAUGGAACACACACUGCUCAUUUAGUGGGAUACUUAGCCAAAUAUCUCUUCAAAUGCGUUCAUAAAUGUGAAGACUGUAUAUCCGCUUUCUUUUCUGCGAUUGCAGAAUUAUAUAAACCAGAAUUGUCUACUGAGGAAGA